rnacentral:lncRNA from 1 species
UGUCGAACUUCAAAUGAUGUUUUCUGACUGAACUACAGAUUUUUUAUCAGUAUUUCGGACAGAAAUUUUAAUCCCAGCAUUGGAAUUAACAGGAGAUAAAUCAAUAGAACUGAUAGCAGCCGAUGCUAAAAGAGGCGAUAAUGGUUGGCAUGCGUAUCAUGCUUGCAAAAUUAUUUCACUUAAGCUGAGAACAACCGUGAAACGGAAAAGGAUUUCAGGACUGGAGUCUUUCGACCAUUUAAUGAGGAUUAUUGAGCCAGGAAGUUCCAUGACAGAAGCUGCAGAAAACUGUUGGAAACCAUACCCAUUGCUUCUGAUACAAGGUAGCGUCAAUGAAAAAGUUUUAUUGGUAAAAAUAGCUGCUGAAAAAUCCAUAAUUACAGCUGGAUCAUCAAUCGAAGAGGGUAUCGAGCGAUUGUUUAAACUUUUUUGGUAUUUCAACUUAGAGUAUACCGAAGAAUGUGCGACUUUUUUUAAAUUUUUACAAUUAAUUUACAGUUUAGGAGAAAAACACUCAUUUCCAGCA